rnacentral:sRNA from 1 species
GCCAGGUAUUGUGGUGGGCACUUGUAGUCACAGCUACUCGGGAGGCUGAGACAAGAGAAUUGCCUAAGCCCAGAAGUUGGAGGUUGCUGUGAGCUGAUGCCACAGCACUCUACUGAGGGUGAUAAAGUGAGACUCUGUCUCAAAAAAAAAAGAGAGAGAGAGAGAGAGUCUCACUUUGUCACCCUCAGUAGAGUGCUCUGGCAUCAUAGCUCACAGUAACCUCAAACUUUUGGGCUUAUGCAAUUCUCUUGCCU